CUUCGGUGUAGCAAUACAUUGGCGGUCCUAGUGGCGCACGGGUGAGUAACACGUGGGUGACCUGCCCUUGAGUUCGGGAUACCCCCUCGAAAGGGGGGCUAAUACCGGAUACGUUCCCCGGUUGAAAGACUGGGGAGGAAAGGUGGCGCAAGCUGCCGCUCUUGGAGGGGCUCGCGGCCUAUCAGCUAGUUGGCGGGGUAACGGCCCACCAAGGCUAUGACGGGUAGCUGGUCUGAGAGGACGACCAGCCACACGGGGACUGAGACACGGCCCCGACUCCUACGGGAGGCAGCAGUGGGGAAUUUUCCGCAAUGGGCGAAAGCCUGACGGAGUGACGCCGCGUGUGGGACGAAGGCCUUCGGGUCGUAAACCACUGUCAGUGGGAAAGAUGGGUGUCGGUGCUAAUACCAUCGGCAUCUGACGGUACCUGCAGAGGAAGCCCCGGCCAACUCUGUGCCAGCAGCCGCGGUAAGACAGAGGGGGCAAGCGUUGCUCGGAAUUACUGGGCGUAAAGGGCGCGUAGGCGGGAUGGCAAGUCGGUCGUGAAAUCCCUCGGCUCAACUGAGGAACGUCGAUCGAUACUGCUGUUCUUGAGGAUUGCAGAGGAGACUGGAAUUCCCGGUGUAGCGGUGAAAUGUGUAGAGAUCGGGAGGAACACCGGUGGCGAAGGCGGGUCUCUGGGCAAUUCCUGACGCUGAGGCGCGAAAGCGUGGGGAGCAAACGGGAUUAGAUACCCCGGUAGUCCACGCUGUAAACGAUGAGCACUA
rnacentral:rRNA from 1 species